ensembl:lncRNA
AUUGCCAAAAGAUCGUCACUUUGCAGCUCCAUUUUCAACGCAAAUACAUUCCAGUUUUCAAAUGGUUUGUAUAGAGUUGCAUUCAAUUUAAAUCUGAUCAUGUCUCUUUACCAUACUUCUGUAUGCCCCCUAUUACCAGGGAAACUUAUUCCUCACUUCAUAGUCACACUGCAUUCAUGUCAUCACUUCUUGGCAGUGUAUACAUAUGUGAAGAACUGUUUUCCUGAAUGACGUAUUCUUACUUACCUUAACUAUAUUACAUAUUUUAUGAGGGCUGCUCUGAAAAGUAAUGUUUUAUUUAUGUUAAGAGAAUGCUUAUAUAAAUAUUCUAUAAUUUUUGUGAAUGCAUUAUUUGGCUGUGUUUUGUUGUUGUUGAUUGUAUGUUUGGUUGUUUUUGGUCUUAGUUCUAUUUAUAAUGUUAUUCCUGGAGAAGCACAUUUCAACGUGGCUCAGGUUUUAGUGCACUGCUUUCCUUGUUCAUCAGAAUCUCACAAACUGCAUUUCCUUUACUGCCUUCUAUAAAAGGGUAUAAGGGGCUCGAGAUCAUGGCACACCUGAAGAUAAAGCUGUGAGGACUGCUGCAAAAAUAAUGCCUCCUUCUUCAUUAUGUUGGCCUGUGAUGUCACAGGCAGAUAUUGGUGGUAUGGCUGUGGAGGUUGAACCUUCCCACCAAUAUCCCGUUAUGUUUUGUUGCCAUGUGACGGACGGCAGCACUGGGGCAGUCUGAUAAAAUGGCGUCUGACAUAGAAAUGCAGAUGAAGCAAAGGCGUGUCACUGAAUUCCUCCAUGUGGAAAAACCAGCACUUAUUGACGUUUCUUGGUGCUUGCUGAGCAUUUAUGCACACCAAACAGUGGAUGUGAGCGCAGAGAGGUGAUGGGUGGGUCAAUGAUGGUGAUGAUGUUAAAAACAUGCCACAUUUUGGACAGCCAUGAAGAUUUUUACAAGCAAGGAAUGCAGGCUCUUGUUCAUCACUGUUGGAAAUGCAUAGCAAAUGGCAGUGACUAUGCUGAAAACUGGUGUCUUGUAGCUGAGAAUUUGCUUUAUCAAAUAAUGUUAUCGUGCUCUUUGUAGGUGUUGUAUUUUCCAUGGAAAUAAGUAGGAGGUAUUACUUUUGGAGCAACACAGGAUGAUUGUUCUUUGUGAAUAAGUUCAGUAACAGUUCCUAUUUAUUAAAAAAUCAUCUGUACUUGUACAUACAACAGAAUUCAAUUUUUCACUAGGCUGUAAUUGAACCCUUUUGUAUUAAAUAAGCUGUAGCUUAUUUUUUUUAGUAGCUCAUAAAAAUGGUCCAGAAAUGUUUUUUUCUGCAUAAUUAUUAAAAUAUAAAGAUACU